GACACACAUUUUUUUUUUCCAACUUUUUAUAUCUACUUUCACGUGACACAAUCAUACAUACAUUCGAUUUGAAGAAGAAUAAAGUUUCAAGUAUAGGAAAAAAAUUAACAUAAUACAUACCAAUACUGACGUGACAAAUAUGGUUAGACAAUUUUUUUUCUGUUUUUCCCAUCUUCCAAUGAUGCCGCCCCAUGUGUUAUCUAUAUAAGGAUUUUUUAUCAAAAAAUUUUUGUACUUGUAACAUGAUUAUACGAAAUAACACCCCAAUCAUAGUAUAUAAAAGCUUGACAAGCUUGAUCAUAGCGCCUGUUCCUUUUUGAAUAACCCAUAGCAGAUGGUGCUAGCGACAUCCCAAAGCUUUAUAAUAGACUUCUGUGAAAUGUAUACUCGACAUACUCAAGCGGCUUUGAAGCUUGUCAAGCCCAAGCUUGAAGUGUUUGAUAUCAAUAAAAAUAUAUAUUUCAAUCUAUUUUUCUAACCAUAUUUAUAAUUAAAAACAAAAUAAUAUUUCAGAAAAAAUGAGGAGGUUGCCAUACCCUUUCGUGAGUAAAUAUUGGAAUACUUACAAACAAGCCCUUAACUUAUCAAGACUGUUGGUGUCCAAAUGUGAAGUCCAAGCUCCAUAAGUUUUAAGCCCCCCCCCCCCCCCCCC
rnacentral:lncRNA from 1 species